UUAACAAGAAGGAGGUAAAUACAUUUAAACAUGCAGACUUAGGCUUUACUCAAAUAAUAACUGGCUUAUGUCCUCUUGGUUUUCAAGAAAUCUUGUUCAUUUACCAAAACAGGGUCCUUGGGAAGGGUGAAAGAAAAAUUAAAUGAGGAAUGAAUGAAUGAAUGAAUGCAUAUCAUAAGUGGUAGUUGAGUUUCGUGUUAUUAAGUAGGCUUCUCAUACUACUCUAAGUGGAAAGACAAGAAGAGGAAAGAAAAGUACAUAUUCCACUCUUUGGAGAUGGUGAGCUGGAUUUUUCACAAGGACCAUCCUCGCACCUGAAGAAUGUGGGAAUGAUGAGCCCUGCUGGAAUCUAAACCAAUCUGCCCUUCACUUCAGACUCCCAAAUGCUUGCUCCACAGCAUGAUGCCUUGUUGGGAUUGAGGUGGUUUUUUGUAUAUUUUUUUUCCCCUCUUUUUUUUUUCAAGAGUCGGGUUUUGGCACCAUUUCUGUCGGUUGCACUGGAACAUAAGAGGAGAGUAGCUACAGGGAGGACAUGGUCUAGCCUCCUACUGCUCCUUCAUCCUGGGUCCUAAAAUAGAAAGACAUGACAUAGUCCUGAAGCCAACUUGGUGCAAUGCUGCUGCAAGGUUGACCUACAAACCCGCAGGCGAGGAUACAGAUCUUGGUCAGCUCUGUCCAAGCGGUGGCUCAAGGACCCAGCUCUCCCACGUUGUGGCCCCGUCAUUAUGGAACUUUUAAUUCCCAGCUGUGUGGACAGGGGAGUGUGGAGAAUCUUGGGAGAUUUUCGAGACCAGGCUUAGAGGGCCAUAUACCAUUUUCCCUAUAUUUUACUGGCUGCAGGGCUAUUCCUGACUGCAAAAAAAGGCAAGAAAAUGUAAAAGGAAAGGAAGAAGUGAACACUCAGCCAGUAUUCGGUGCACUGUGUAACUGCAGAUGGCGACUAGUGCUGUGGAAGGCAAGCACAAGGCACAACGAAAGGGUGCAAUGGGAAACUUCACCCACAUGGCAUCCCGCAUCCAUUCCUCCUUCUGAAAGGAACGGAUUCAUUGCCUGAGAAGGGAAUGACCCUCCAUCGUGUGCAGUUUUCACGGAGCUAUCAUUCAUGUUCUCUCUCCAUUCAAGCAGGAGAACCUGACCGGCUCCACACCAUUCCUAUGAGGCUCGUGCAACAGUACGAGCUGCGCUCAUCGGAUUCUCUCCCUGGAACUUAACCUCAACUGGAAAGACACGAAAGACAAGGGAAGGCAGGAUCUCAUUCUCUGCCAUGAAAGCACGAUAAAUAGCGUAAACAUCAGUUCUUGUCACUUGGAUCUGUGUGUUCCUGCUCCCUAUCCUUCCCGAGCCUAUUCAUGGGUUUUCCUCUCAGUCUCUGCAGGUUCUCAUGUUGUUCCAGUUCAUUCGCUUUCUUCCUGCAUUAACCACUUGGUUUCUGUGCUUGUACCAAAGAACUAAUUGACACAGGGGUAUGAUUUAGGUUGUGAGGUUCAGUGUCUCUCUAAGGAACAGCAUUUUUGCUGACACCUGAAGCGUAAGUUAGGGUUAAGUAGGCAAAAAGUGGGGAAAAAAAUUUUUUUAAUUUAAAUUCAAUUAAUUAACAUA